UGGCCCAUUAUCUUUACUCCGAUGCCGACACUGAGCCGACAGUAGCGCUUUUCAGCCGGAAUCGGCCCAAAUGUGCUUGCUAUCUGGGUAGCAGUCUAGCUACUUUUCUGUAGUCCUUGUUUGAUGUUCAAAAUAUAAAGAGGAUUAAACAUAUAACAAAUUAACAAGACAUGAUAGAGUGGAAAUUGGCUAUCCAAAGAAGUAGCCUAACUUGGCUAAAUAUAGACGAAAAAUAAUUAAGAAGACACUUUUCCCCUCCAGUUUUAACUUGUCCACACUCCAGCACCGUAAGUGGUGGAAAUGCACCUUAACGUGUGUUGCCAUUAAAUGGAGAAGAAGAUCAAGAAGAAGAAUGUGUCUCUGUUCGUGCCACGACGGCACCCGUUUGGUUGACAAAGUAGUGAUGGUAAUGUUGACACAGAAAACAUUACACACAAGAAACACUUGAAAAGUUUUUUAACACCAUAUUGCCGAGGGAAAGGGAAAGUUUUGGAGACAAAGAGCUACCCCUCCCAGAGUCAGAUUGGUGAAGCUGAGGCCGAGAUGUGGGACUUCUACAAUACCAUAACAUAACGUGGAUGAAUACAACACUACAAACUCGAAAUGUCCGGAGCUGCGAUGUCCUUUUGUCGAGGCCUGCCAGGAUCCUGGCGUGCCGGUGCCAUUCAACUGGUUGACUCUUUUCCUGUCUGCCAAUCCCACAGCCACAUUCUGCUUUGUGAUGAAUCAUGCAGAUGUUGAAGGAGCUGAUGGGAUUACAUUUCACUGGAAUUUGUACCUUGUAUGAUUUCAUGUGACAAACAAAUGUAUUUCUGUGAUUGUGUACUGUAUGUAUUUUACAAAAAGUUUUAUUUGACAAGGAUUUGCUAGACCAUUAUGUCUAGAUCGGUAAAGAAUUUGGCUUCAAUUGGUCCUCUUUCAAUUGGUGCCUUUUGUGUGCGUCAUCAUAUGUUUUGUACGUAAUAAUGAAGCAAACAUAAACCUAAAUGUCAGUUAUUAUGCUCUUGAUGUCAGCAUGG